UAUCGCCUAAUUGCAGAUCCGUCUGACCGAUGUCGUCAGGCUGGCUAUGGUCUUGAGAAGGAAUCAAUGUUGCGACAAAAUCAAAUCUACUCGUGAAUACUUGCAUCAAAAAAGUAUAAAUCAUGCAACAAAGUACGAACAUUGAUUUCGACCUCGAUGUAAAUUCUCAGAGCGUCUACACGUUAUAUUGUUUCUUCAAAUUGAAUUCACACAAUGAAGAUUGUCAGAAAAAUUUUACAGGAAAUUUUCAUUUGAUAAUAAUUACAGGACGGAAUUCAAUUCCUGUUAUCAAUGUCACUUUAUUACUGCUGUGCAUCAUGCUGAUUGAAAUACGCAUUUAGAUAUGUAUUAGGUAUGCGUUUUCAUUUUAUCUUAUGACAUAAUAAUUACAUAUGUAUACUUUGUUACACAGGUAAACGGACUUCACCAUUUUCUCUAUAAAUAUUGAUCAAAGUUAGAUUUUGACCGAUAUAAAACAAAAAAUAACUUUUAUUUACAGGUUUGGAAUGAGUCCCCUUUGUGCUUCUUGGCAGUCUGAUUGUCAUCAUGACUUUCUGGAGUUCGUGUCGGCUUAAUGAGCCGUUAUAAGUUCACGCAUUCCAGAUUGAAAAUAGGAUUUUACCAGCAGCCUUUCAAGAAAUGUGCCACUGAUGAAUGACAAUUUUUUUACACAGUAAUACUAAUACCUUCAAUAUUACCAGGGAGUUGCCCGCUGAUAUUAAUCGCCUGUGGACCAAAAACUGCCUGUUCACUGGUUGGAGCUGCAGU